rnacentral:rRNA from 1 species
GACGAACGCUGGCGGCGUGCUUAACACAUGCAAGUCGAACGGAAAGGCCCUGCUUUUGUGGGGUGCUCGAGUGGCGAACGGGUGAGUAGCACGUGAGUAACCUGCCCUUGACUUUGGGAUAACUUCAGGAAACUGGGGCUAAUACCGGAUAGGAGCUCCUGCUGCAUGGUGGGGGUUGGAAAGUUUCGGCGGUUGGGGAUGGACUCGCGGCUUAUCAGCUUGUUGGUGGGGUAGUGGCUUACCAAGGCUUUGACGGGUAGCCGGCCUGAGAGGGUGACCGGCCACAUUGGGACUGAGAUACGGCCCAGACUCCUACGGGAGGCAGCAGUGGGGAAUAUUGCACAAUGGGCGGAAGCCUGAUGCAGCAACGCCGCGUGCGGGAUGACGGCCUUCGGGUUGGAAACCGCUUUCGCCUGUGACGAAGCGUGAGUGACGGUAAUGGGUAAAGAAGCACCGGCUAACUACGU